rnacentral:rRNA from 1 species
UGGGGAAUAUUGGACAAUGGGCGCAAGCCUGAUCCAGCAAUGCCGCGUGAGUGAUGAAGGCCUUAGGGUUGUAAAGCUCUUUCGCACGCGACGAUGAUGACGGUAGCGUGAGAAGAAGCCCCGGCUAACUUCGUGCCAGCAGCCGCGGUAAUACGAAGGGGGCUAGCGUUGUUCGGAAUUACUGGGCGUAAAGGGCGCGUAGGCGGCCUGUUUAGUCAGAAGUGAAAGCCCCGGGCUCAACCUGGGAAUAGCUUUUGAUACUGGCAGGCUUGAGUUCCGGAGAGGAUGGUGGAAUUCCCAGUGUAGAGGUGAAAUUCGUAGAUAUUGGGAAGAACACCGGUGGCGAAGGCGGCCAUCUGGACGGACACUGACGCUGAGGCGCGAAAGCGUGGGGAGCAAACAGAUUAGAUACCCUGGUAGUCCACGCCGUAAACGAUGAAUGCUAGACGUCGGGGUGCAUGCACUUCGGUGUCGCCGCUAACGCAUUAAGCAUUCCGCCUGGGGAGUACGGCCGCAAGGUUAAAACUUAAAUGAAUUGACGGGGUCAUAGCUGUUU